rnacentral:ncRNA from 1 species
GUAAAAGCGAAGAUGAAAAAAUAGUAGUGCUAUAAAAUGCCUAAGAGAGCCGGUGGUUGGUGGGAAACUGGUGCGGAAGAUAGCAUGAAUGGAUUUUCUAGCUGCGAAGAGGAAAUGCUUCGACGUCUGUCCCGCGUUAUGGGAGUAGAGUGGACUAUUUGUUUUUUUGAAUAGUCAAUGAAGGUGGCACCACGGCUCUCCGUCCUUUUU